GGCUCAGAUAUUUCAGGACAUAAAUCCUGACUUUGGAGCGAUGUGUUUGUUCGUGUUUAUUUACUUGACCAAGAGACGACUCUCAUUCAACGCAUUCACUUAAACCUUUUAAAGAGUCUAUACUGUACUAUAUUAUACUAUACUAUACUAUAUCUGUCUAUACUGUACUAUACUAUACUAUACUAUACUAUAUCUGUCUAUACUGUACUAUACUAUACUAUACUACACUAUACUAUACUACACUAUACUAUACUGCACUAUACUAUACUAUACUACACUAUACUAUACUGUACUAUACUAUACUAUACUGUGCUAAAUUAUACUAUACUAUACUAUACUGUACUAUACUAUACUGUGCUAAAUUAUACUAUACUACACUAUACUAUACUGUACUAUACUAUACUGUGCUAAAUUAUACUAUACUACACUAUACUAUACUACACUACACUAUACUAUACUAUACUACACUAUACUAUACAAUAUCUGUCUAUACUAUAAAUCUGAAAAGUGCAGUUUAUGGCUUUCCAUGCUCCACAAAUCUGCAAUACUCUUCAUUUUGUGAAAUGUGAAAUUUAAUACACAAAAAGUAAGUUGGAUGUCACAGUUGAGCAGUGUGUAGCAUUGCCGUCGUAUAGCUCCAGGGUUCCCGGUUCAGUCCUGAGCUUGGGUUACUUACUGUGGGAAUGUUCUUACCAUGUCCAUGUGGCAUUCCUCCGGGUUAAUCUCCGGUUUCCGACCAAAACAAAUGCCAGUAAGCGGAUCUGUGACACUAAAAUUCCACUCGGUGUGAACGAGAAUGUAAUGGACUGCUGUCCCAUCCAGGGUGUAUUCCCGCAUUGUGCACAGCAUUCCUGAGAUAAACACUGGAUCCACCACCACCCUGACCAGGAUAAAGAGCUGACUGCAGAUGAGUGAAUGAACAACAAGACAUGUUACUUGAUCAUGUUAUCUGAUGACUGGCCCUGGAGCCAGAAUAGUAGCAGUAGCAACCAAGUGCUCAGGUGGACCUGAGAGGAUUCCUGGGUCAGGAUAAGCUUUCACACUCAAACAAAAGAGAAGAAAAGUUAUUCGAAAGUCCAUCGACCUCUUUACUUUAGACAGCCGGGUCAUUCAGGAUUGUGGAGGUCCUGAGGAAGUUUCUCC
ensembl:lncRNA